rnacentral:rRNA from 1 species
ACGUAGGGGGCAAGCGUUAUCCGGAAUUAUUGGGCGUAAAGAGUGCGUAGGUGGUUUUCUAAGCGUGAGGUCUAAGGCAGCGGCUUAACUGCUGUUCGCCUUGCGAACUGGAAGACUUGAGUGCAGGAGGGGAAAGCGGAAUUCCUAGUGUAGCGGUGAAAUGCGUAGAUAUUAGGAGGAACACCAGCGGCGAAGGCGGCUUUCUGGACUGCAACUGACACUGAGGCACGAAAGCGUGGGGAGCAAACAG